rnacentral:sRNA from 16 species
AUCGGGUACGGAGACAUUACACCCCAUACAUAUCUUGGAAGGCUCAUUGGUUCGAUUUGUGCUCUCGCCGGUGUGCUCACAAUUGCGUUGCCCGUGCCGGUGAGAAUUUUCGGG